UUUCCGUAGGUGAACCUGCGGAAGGAUUAUUCAUAAUAAGUGUUUUAUGGCUCUUUUUUAAAUCCAUAUCCACCUUGUGUGCAAUGUCAGGGUUGGUCUCUUUCGACCAGCCCCAAACAUCAACUAUUAUCACAACUCUUUGUCUGAAAAAUAUUAUGAAUAAAACAAUUCAAAAUACAACUUUCAACAACGGAUCUCUUGGCUCUC
rnacentral:misc_RNA from 1 species